GAUCCUGGCUCAGGACGAACGCUGGCGGCGUGCUUAACACAUGCAAGUCGAACGAGAAUCUACUGAAAGAGUUUUCGGACAAUGGAUGUAGAGGAAAGUGGCGGACGGGUGAGUAACGCGUGAGGAACCUGCCUUGAAGAGGGGGACGAACAGUUGGAAACGACUGCUAAUACCGCAUGAAGCAUAGGGGUCGCAUGAUCUUUAUGCCAAAGAUUUAUCGCUUCAAGAUGGCCUCGCGU
rnacentral:rRNA from 1 species